UGGGGAAUAUUGGACAAUGGGCGCAAGCCUGAUCCAGCCAUGCCGCGUGAGUGAUGAAGGCCUUAGGGUUGUAAAGCUCUUUCGCCGGUGAAGAUAAUGACGGUAACCGGAGAAGAAGCCCCGGCUAACUUCGUGCCAGCAGCCGCGGUAAUACGAAGGGGGCUAGCGUUGCUCGGAAUCACUGGGCGUAAAGCGCACGUAGGCGGAUCGUUAAGUCAGGGGUGAAAUCCUGGAGCUCAACUCCAGAACUGCCCUUGAUACUGGCGAUCUCGAGUUCGAGAGAGGUUGGUGAACUCCGAGUGUAGAGGUGAAAUUCGUAGAUAUUCGGAAGAACACCAGUGGCGAAGGCGGCAACUGGUUCGAUACUGACGCUGAGGUGCGAAAAGCGUGGGGAGCAAAACAGGAUUAGAUACCCUGGUAGUCCACGCCGUAAAACGAUGGAUGCUAGCCGUUGGGGGGUUUACCUCUCAGUGGCGCAGCUAAACGCCUUAAAGCAUCCCGCCUGGGGGAGUACGGUCGCAAAGAUUAAAAACUCAAAAGG
rnacentral:rRNA from 1 species